UCCCACUCAUAGUAGAUUUAUUUUAAGUAG
rnacentral:piRNA from 1 species